rnacentral:piRNA from 1 species
AGAAAGGAUGAGUUGCUCACACAAAGA